rnacentral:rRNA from 1 species
UACGUAGGGAGCAAGCGUUGUCCGGAAUCAUUGGGCGUAAAGCGCGCGUAGGCGGCCCGGUCAGUCCGUCGUGAAAGUCAAAGGCUCAACCUUUGAAUGUCGAUGGAUACUGCCGGGCUAGAGUCCGGAAGAGGCGAGUGGAAUUCCUGGUGUAGCGGUGGAAUGCGCAGAUAUCAGGAGGAACACCAAUUGCGAAGGCAGCUCGCUGGAACGUAACUGACGCUGAGACGCGAAAGCGUGGGGAGCAAACAGG